rnacentral:tRNA from 1 species
GAGGGUAUAGCUCAGUGGUAGAGGGUGUGUUUAGCAUGCAUGGGGUAACUGGGUUCAAUCCCCAGUAUUUCCA